GACGAACGCUGGCGGCGUGCUUAACACAUGCAAGUCGAACGAUGAAGCCGGAGCUUGCUCUGGUGAAUUAGUGGCGAACGGGUGAGUAACACGUGAGUAACCUGCCCUUGACUCUGGGAUAACUGCGGGAAACUGUAGCUAAUACCGGAUACGACCCUCGGAGGCAUCUCCUGGGGGUGGAAAGAAUUUCGGUCAAGGAUGGACUCGCGGCCUAUCAGCUAGUUGGUGAGGUAAAGGCUCACCAAGGCGACGACGGGUAGCCGGCCUGAGAGGGUGACCGGCCACACUGGGACUGAGACACUGCCCAGACUCCUACGGGAGGCAGCAGUGGGGAAUAUUGCACAAUGGGCGCAAGCCUGAUGCAGCAACGCCGCGUGAGGGAUGACGGCCUUCGGGUUGUAAACCUCUUUUAGUAGGGAAGAAGCGAAAGUGACGGUACCUGCAGAAAAAGCACCGGCUAACUACGUGCCAGCCGCCGCGGUAA
rnacentral:rRNA from 1 species